AUACGGAGGAUCCGAGCGUUAUCCGGAUUUAUUGGGUUUAAAGGGUGCGCAGGCGGGAGAUUAAGUCGGCGGUGGAAAUUUGGAGCUCCACUGUAAAAGUGCCUUCGAAACUUGUUUCCUUGAGUGUAGAUGAAGUAGGCGGAAUUUAUAGUAAAACGGUGAAAUGCAUAGAUAUCACGAGGAACUCCGAUUGCGCAGGCAGCUUACUAAACUACUACUGACGCUCAGGCACGAAGGCGUGGGGAUCAAACAGGAUUAGAUACCCUGGUAGUCCACGCAGUAAACGAUGAUUACUAGCUGUUUGCGAUACAAUGUAAGCGGCUGAGCGAAAGCGUUAAGUAAUCCACCUGGGGAGUACGUUCGCAAGAAUGAAACUCAAAUGAAUUGACGGGG
rnacentral:rRNA from 1 species